GGACAGAUGGCCGAGCGGUUAAGGCGCUAGCUUCAGGUGCUAGUCACGAAAGUGGCGUGGGUUCGAGUCCCACUCUGUUCA
rnacentral:tRNA from 1 species